rnacentral:rRNA from 1 species
UACGAAGGGGGCUAGCGUUGUUCGGAAUUACUGGGCGUAAAGCGCACGUAGGCGGAUUGUUAAGUGAGGGGUGAAAUCCCAGGGCUCAACCCUGGAACUGCCUCUCAUACUGGCAAUCUCGAGUUCGAGAGAGGUGAGUGGAAUUGCGAGUGUAGAGGUGAAAUUCGUAGAUAUUCGCAGGAACACCAGUGGCGAAGGCGGCUCACUGGUUCGAUACUGACGCUGAGGUGCGAAAGCGUGGGGAGCAAACAGG